rnacentral:rRNA from 1 species
UGGGGAAUUUUGGACAAUGGGCGCAAGCCUGAUCCAGCCAUGCCGCGUGCGGGAAGAAGGCCUUCGGGUUGUAAACCGCUUUUGUCAGGGAAGAAAUCUUCUGAGUUAAUACCUCGGGAGGAUGACGGUACCUGAAGAAUAAGCACCGGCUAACUACGUGCCAGCAGCCGCGGUAAUACGUAGGGUGCAAGCGUUAAUCGGAAUUACUGGGCGUAAAGCGUGCGCAGGCGGUUUUGUAAGACAGAGGUGAAAUCCCCGGGCUCAACCUGGGAACUGCCUUUGUGACUGCAAGGCUUGAGUGCGGCAGAGGGGGAUGGAAUUCCGCGUGUAGCAGUGAAAUGCGUAGAUAUGCGGAGGAACACCGAUGGCGAAGGCAAUCCCCUGGGCCUGCACUGACGUUCAUGCACGAAAGCGUGGGGAGCAAACAGGAUUAGAUACCCUGGUAGUCCACGCCCUAAACGAUGUCAACUGGUUGUUGGGAAGGUUCCCUCUCAGUAACGUAGCUAACGCNUGAAGUUGACCGCCUGGGGAG